rnacentral:rRNA from 1 species
UACGUAGGGGGCGAGCGUUGUCCGGAUUUACUGGGCGUAAAGGGCUCGUAGGCGGUUUGUCGCGUCGGGAGUGAAAACACGGGGCUUAACCCCGUGCCUGCUUCCGAUACGGGCAGACUAGAGGUAUGCAGGGGAGAACGGAAUUCCUGGUGUAGCGGUGAAAUGCGCAGAUAUCAGGAGGAACACCGGUGGCGAAGGCGGUUCUCUGGGCAUUACCUGACGCUGAGGAGCGAAAGUGUGGGGAGCGAACAGG